AUUGAACGCUGGCGGCAGGCCUAACACAUGCAAGUCGAGCGGUAGAGAGGAGCUUGCUUCUCUUGAGAGCGGCGGACGGGUGAGUAAUGCCUAGGAAUCUGCCUGAUAGUGGGGGAUAACGUCCGGAAACGGACGCUAAUACCGCAUACGUCCUACGGGAGAAAGUGGGGGCUCUUCGGACCUCACGCUAUCAGAUGAGCCUAGGUCGGAUUAGCUAGUUGGUGGGGUAAAGGCUCACCAAGGCGACGAUCCGUAACUGGUCUGAGAGGAUGAUCAGUCACACUGGAACUGAGACACGGUCCAGACUCCUACGGGAGGCAGCAGUGGGGAAUAUUGGACAAUGGGCGAAAGCCUGAUCCAGCCAUGCCGCGUGUGUGAAGAAGGUCUUCGGAUUGUAAAGCACUUUAAGUUGGGAGGAAGGGUCGUUACCUAAUACGUGACGAUUUUGACGUUACCGACAGAAUAAGCACCGGCUAACUCUGUGCCAGCAGCCGCGGUAAAAC
rnacentral:rRNA from 1 species